UGCCCUAUAGCUCAAUGGUUAGAGCGCCCGACUCAUAAUCGGUGGAUCUGAGUUCAAUUCUCAGUGGGGCUA
rnacentral:tRNA from 1 species